UCAUCAAGGGGCGGCAGUUCGUACGGUCAAUAAGGUUAGAUGAAAAAUACAAGUAGCCGAUAAGCAGCAUCUAGUUAAACGCAACACGCAGCAGAUAAACGUCAUCUAGUUGAUACGCACCAGUAGAUAAGGAUGAAUGUCUUUUGUAUAUACUUCUUGAUUUUAUAGUUUAUAAUCCUUUUUAAACCAAAUUUUAUUUAUUUCCUUUCUCUUUAGCAUUAUUAGCCUCGGACAAGUCAAUUUUAAUAUAUUGUUAUAUAAUAUAUAUAAUAAUGGAUGAAUUAGGAGACCACAAUAGUUGGCUCUUAAUUAGUAAACGUCAUCUGAACGAUAGCGGUCAACUAGACGAUAAGUAUACGUGGCCAUAUAGGAAAAAGUACUGGUGAAGCUUUGCCAUCAACAUCAUCUAGAUGUGCGCGACCAUGUGAUAAUAACACAUGUUGAGUUUCAGCCUUGAAAUAUAUUAGUCAGAUACAAAUUUAUUAAUAAUUUAUUUAUAUGAACAUAUAUACCCAUGUAUACAUUGGCUGACUCUGCCUACCUAUGCAUACAAAGUCAGCCGAUGGUUACCGUCAUGGUUUAGUUUCGGCCAUCAUGGUUACACCAAAGCCCCUUUGGUGAAAUCAUGGGAAUCACAAAUCAUCGUGAGAAUUCACUUGAAAGAUUUUAUGACAUAUAAUGAAGUGGAGUUUAUCCCUGUGCCAAAUCUCAAUUUGAUCCUUGGUCCGAAUGGAACAGGAAAGUCUACUAUCGUUUCUGCCAUAUGCCUUGGAAUGGCUGGGAAACCAAGUACCAUAGCUAGAGCUAGUAAUGCUAUGUGCGUCACGGAGCCAAUAAAGCCACAAUUAGCAUAGAACUUCAUAAUCCUGAUGGCCCAAAUUUUUCUGUUGCAAGAGAAAUAACAUCAGAAAACAAGUCCACAUGAAAAUUCCAAGAUAAGGCUGUCAGUAGUGCUCAAAUUGAACAAAUUAUUCACAAACUUCAUAUUCAAGUUGAUAACCAUUGUCAGUUCUUACCCCAAGAGCAAGUUCAGAACUUUUCGCGUAUGAAAGACAAGCAACUUUUGAUUGGCACGAUGAAAGUAGUUGGCGGAUGUUAUGGCUUCUACCGACAGAAUUAAAAUUACGUCAUUCAUCAUUGAAAUAUCAAAGAUGGACAAGAACGGAGAUCGACAGAGUUUGUACGGGUUACUGCCUUUAUCGAAGAGACUUAUUAUUCCGACGAUGGAGAUUAUUUUCACGUACCUGAUCAUCAUCUACCAAUUCAAAGCUGCUGCCCACUAAUUACAGUACUCAACGUUCCCAGUAUAUCACUGAAACAACUAUC